UGCAACAGCUUCUGCCUCUCCAAGGCCCA
rnacentral:piRNA from 1 species